rnacentral:rRNA from 1 species
UACAUAGGGGGCGAGCGUUGUCCGGAAUUACUGGGCGUAAAGGGUGUGUAGGCGGUUUUUUAAGUUAGAAGUGUAAUACCCAGGGCUUAACUCGGGUGCUGCUUCUAAAACUGGAAGACUUGAGUGUAGGAGAGGAGAAUGGAAUUCCUAGUGUAGCGGUGGAAUGCAUAGAUAUUAGGAGGAACGCCGGAGGCGAAAGCGAUUCUCUGGACUACAACUGACGCUGAGGCACGAAAGCGUGGGGAGCAAACAGGAUUAGAUAC